rnacentral:pre_miRNA from 1 species
UCUUAGGGAUGAGCAAAGAAAGUGUGUUCUUGAGAUGGAAUCUACUCCUGGUAAAGAUGCUGUGAA